rnacentral:rRNA from 1 species
UACGAAGGGGGCGAGCGUUGUUCGGAAUUACUGGGCGUAAAGGGCGCGCAGGCGGCCCUUGAAGUCAGGCGUGAAAGCCCCGGGCUCAACCUGGGAGGUGCGCUUGAUACUCGAGGGCUUGAGUGCGAGAGAGGUGAGUGGAAUUCCCAGUGUAGAGGUGAAAUUCGUAGAUAUUGGGAAGAACACCGGUGGCGAAGGCGGCUCACUGGCUCAUAUCUGACGCUCAGGCGCGACAGCGUGGGGAUCAAACAGG